GUAUGAGUUAUUUCAAUAUGAUGAUAAACAUUACCCAGCUCAUCUGAAGAAUAUAACCAUGAAGAUAUUCUUUCAUGCAUCACAAUCUGAUUGAAAUAAUUCUAACAAAAAAAAGAUUAA
rnacentral:sRNA from 1 species